rnacentral:rRNA from 1 species
UACGGAGGGUGCAAGCGUUGUUCGGAAUCAUUGGGCGUAAAGAGCGUGUAGGCGGUCGGGUAAGUCAGAUGUGAAAUCCCUUGGCUUAACCAAGGAAGUGCAUUUGAAACUACCCGGCUUGAGUACGGGAGGGGGAAGUGGAAUUCCCGGUGUAGAGGUGAAAUUCGUAGAUAUCGGGAGGAACACCGGUGGCGAAGGUGGCUUCCGGGACCGAUACUGACGCUGAGACGCGAAAGCGUGGGGAGCAAACAGG